rnacentral:rRNA from 1 species
UACAGAGGUCCCAAGCGUUGUUCGGAUUCACUGGGCGUAAAGGGUGCGUAGGUGGCCAGGUAAGUUUGGUGUGAAAGCUCGGAGCUUAACUCCGAAAAGUCAUUGAAUACUAUCUGGCUGGAGGGUCGGAGGGGAGACUGGAAUUCUCGGUGUAGCAGUGAAAUGCGUAGAUAUCGAGAGGAACACCAGUGGCGAAGGCGAGUCUCUGGACGACUCCUGACACUGAGGCGCGAAAGCGUGGGUAGCAAACAGG